AUCUUUACUAAUAUGUGAAUUUAGGAGUGAGGCUAUUAUGCUUCCAGAAGCACGGAGUUUUCUGUGCUUCUAGGUUGUUUUUGAUGUUGCGACUUUCGAAUCGUCGAUCGGCUCCGUUAAACUUAAUCUAGAGAAUUUUAAAUACCUAGAAAAUAAAUUUUGUAAUUUUUCGAUAACAUUUGUCUAGUGAACUAAGGGGCUCAAAAUCAACGGCUGAAAAUAAAAAUCUUACAAAACGUGAUAAUGUGACAUUAAAAUUUUAGAUUAAAGAUAUUGAUCUUGUUUCAUAUAGUAUAAAAAAUUUUCUAUCAAAAUUUCACGUGAUUUGGAUAUUUCUACACCGUUAAACUUGCAAACGGCUCACAACAGCCAUUAAAAUUAUUGAUUUUGAGUCCCUUCGAUCACAAGGCAAAUGAUAUCGAAAAAUCAUAAAAUUUAUUUUCUAAGUACUUCAAAUACUCUAGAUCAAGUUUAACGGAGCCGAUCGACGAUUCGAAAGUCGCAACAUUAAAAACGACCUGAAAGCACAGAAGGCUCCGUGCUUUUAGAAGCAUAGUAGCCUCACUCGUGAAUUUAGAUCCUGAUGUUGUACUAACUCAUUUCUAUAAGAUUGAGUAUAUAUAAAUCUAGACUCCUGAGUUAUUUCUAUUUGAAUUACCAUGGGAAGGUUGAGAUUCCAAUCUAUUAAAAGUUUUAAUUUAUAAUUCUUUAAAUUUACUGCGAUAAAAUUCUUUAAUUUUACUGGAACAGAGAAAUUUUAAAUAUACACCCUGUUGCUGGACAAAGCAGGUACUUAGCCUUGAAUAAUUUUAUACGAAUGAUGACCGUCUGAUCCAUUCCACAUGGAGUCGGCAGGUUAGAUCGGACGGUCAUGAUUUACCGACAGCCAGGUUCAUGUAUCCGGGAGCCGUCACUCGAUUCGAGAUGCAUCCAAAAAUUAAAAAGGGUUCAUGAUUUUUUGUGUCGUGAUCAUGUAGACCCUAACAAUUAAUAUAAUAAUAACAAUAAUAAUAAUGCCAAGUUACUUUUUUUUUUUUUUUGUCUUAUAUGAUAUUUGAUAUUUUGAUUCUUUGGCUUUAAUUUAUUAACACAAAUAUUUUUUAAAUCAAUAUCUACAGUAAAAUUUACUUCACUAAAUCCCGGUACCUUGUUGAUAUAAUAGUAUUGUAAUUGACAGCGUAAGAACGAUUAAGAUGCUACAUUACUAACACGGGAGCAAUGCAUCAUUUUCUAAUUAACUAAACCGUACUUUCCAAAUUAAUUGCAACAAAUUUAAAAUUUUGAACUAAAAAUUAGGACGAGUUGCACGUUUGGUUCACAAACUAUGAAUCCGCUGCACUUUUGUCCCCAAAUUUUAAUUCGUCAUAAUUUUUUACUCAGACUUUUUAUUAAAAGUGACAAAAUAUUAGUGUGUCGCUAACGUAGAGAUAACAUAGUAGUAUUAUGAUUGACGAUGAGAAUGUCAGAUUAUUUUUAUAUUAAUAAUACGUUAAAAUUUAGCCAACUAAAUUAAAUUGCAGGACCUAAGUGCGAUAAUUCUAAAAAGUUCCAACCAGAAAUUGUUUGCAAGUGUCAUCAGGCUCAUAAUCUGAGAAUCAAAUGCAUAAUUAUUUAUAAAAAUUGUAAAUUUGUAAUAAAUUAAAAUUCGAGGACCAAAAUAGUACUAAUCGAUAGUUUGGGGACCGAAAGUGUGAUUUAGUGGAAUAAUAAUGGUGAAGUUACUUAGAUGGGCCAAAGCCCACAUGGGAGGAGAGAAGCGAGGCCCACCAACACGCGCAAACAGGUAGUUAGAGAUUGGCUCGGGAUCUGAUCCCUCGCAUUGGGCCCCACACAUCGUGGGCUGCUCCCUAACCCCCGGUGUUAACACAUUGAUCUCUCCGAUCUCUUCCUCUCAAGGGCAAUCUCGUCAAUCCACAAAAAAUUAAUUAAGGACUUGUUUGGCCGAGCAGUGUGGUUUAAAAUUGGAUAAACUUUAAAUACCACCUCACCUCUGUGGUUUCGCAUAAAGUACCCUGUGAUUUGAAGUGUAUUAAGGUAGAGCUCAUCAGCUUCUCCAUUAAUAUUUUGUUAAAUUAUAUACAAAAUACUUCAGAUACUUCAUCUAGAUUUAUCGAAUAUUUAUUUUAGUACCCUUAAGUUUUAACUUUGUUACUGAUUUAAUGAAAAAAAUUAGUGAAAUCGAUAAUAAAAAGAUAAAAAUGAAAUCACAGAGCAUUAAAUUGAUAUACUUUAAACCACAAGGUACUAAAGUGAGAAAGUGUGAAACUACUAGAGUAGUAUUUGAAGUUUUUCAAAAAAAAUUUAUGUGCACAGUAUCUUCUUUUCAUUAAUAUUAAAAUCAGGCUUCCUUUGGUUUGCCCUAACCAUAUUGUAGAUUAGAUUUUUUUAAAAAAAAAUAAGAGAGAAAAAGAUAGCUGAAUCACCUGAUCAGUAUAAUAGUGUAGAUUAGUUGUUGAACCACAAUCAGUAUCCAAGGUAAACCCCUCAUUUCAAAUAGGCAUUUGAAUCAACUAGUCUCAAAAUUACAAAGAAUUUACUAUUAGUAUAAAAUAAGAACGCUCGUCUCAGCAUAAUUAACUGAAGUGGUCUUGCGAGUUUGCCCCCAAAUUUAAAUAGAUUAAUACCCAACGUGGCAAUGGACUUUAUAGUCGAUAUCUGAUAUUUCAAAAUUGAAACCUUGAUAUUUCAUAUUUUCAAUUAAGUUUAUUUGCCGAUAGUAUACUAUUUUUUUUUCUCAUUUCAUAUUUUUUUAUAAGAAGGGAAAAAAAAAAAUCUCUCGCGGAAAAGUAAACCUUACAAAGCCUAGUUUCUCAAGCUCUUUUGUGUAUCUCAAAUAAUCUACUGAAUAUAAAUAAGUAAAUCUUGUUCAUGCGCAAAACUAUAUAGUUUCUCUUUUGGCCAUUUCCACACACACACAUGACACAUAUCUCUCUCACCGAUCAACUCAGAGAUUCACAUGGUCUCCGAUAUAAAAAUUCUGGUGCAUUAAGCAGAGCAGCAGCUGCAGUAAUGAAACAGAGUAGCACAUGGCAAUCCCAUUAAUUAAAUACUUUUUAGGGUAAAAUACGCGCACUAACGGCCACAAAGACUAAUGUCGGUGCGACAAACAUUGCCUAUGUUGUUUGAUUGUACUCAAAUUGUAUGAUUGAAGCACUUAUUUUAUUAUUAUUAUCCUUCUCCGGUCCAGUACAAUUGAUUAAUAUUGUAAAUUAUCGAUCAGAAAAUCAAAUUUUCAAUUCGAUUCUCUGCAUGCGUGUUUCAAAAUUGGACGUUACUUUUUGGAUUGAAUUAAAUUGAAUGAAACUAACGCCGAUGUUACUUACCUAGUACGGGCAUUUCUACAGACAUAUAUGUCAUAAGUCGUAGGUAUAUUUAACAAAUUAUCCGUCAUUUACUCAUUCGCAUUGCAAUUUAUGUCAAUUAUACACUAUUUUGAUUUUAAAUUUUGAAUGUGCGGUUUAGUAUACUUCAUGCGCUCUCACAAUUAUAAAUUUAUUAAAAUAAAUAAUUAGCUUAAAUUUUAAAAUCAAAUUAUUGUUAAUAAAUUUAAAUCAAACAAAUUGAUUUAAUAGUAAAAUUAAAAUCUAAAAAAAAUUAAAUAAUUGGUUUAAAAUCAUCAUUAGUUCAGAUAUUUUAGAUAUAUAAUUUUAAAUUUGAAAGCGCCAAUACAUAACUGUAUUAAAUCAACGAACUGUACCAUGGAGCACAAAAACGGUAAACGUCACUUCGCGACACACUAAGCCGGUUCAAUUCGGCGAACCGGGUUCGGAGGGGACGGCCCACUGGGCCAACUCCGGUCUCAAAUCCAAACACCGGUAUCAAUCAACACACACCAAUCGAUGGGAAGGAAAAAGGCCCGGUUCAAUCGAACCGGUAAAAUGACGAUAGUACCCUCGGAAGCGGCUUAAAUUGCAUGGCGCCUCGUGUCGGAGAUAGGGGGUGGCGUGUAACGCCGAAGCGAAACGGGCCACGUGACCACUGACACUGCCUGUUCCCAUGCCCGUGAGGGGCAAUAUCGUCAUUUCACUACAAAGUCCCUCUCCUCCACGGAAAAUUCUAGAAUGCAACGGGUAUAUUAAUGACGUGGCGUAACAAACCAAUCAAAUUAAUUUUUUUAAGAAUAUAUGUCCCAUCAUGAUUGUAAAAAAGUAUUUUUAUUAUACUUUUAUUUGAAAAGAAGAAAUGUGAUUGGCUUGUUAUUGAUGACGUGGUGCAAGUGUGACAGUGUAGAAUUCCUCCUCAUUCACAUACGAGGAGAAGUUAUCGCCUCAACCCGGUGCAUUCGUACGCUUCAUGCACCGAACUCAAAUUAUUUUAGCCUGAGUGUUUCGAGGCUUACUUUGAUAUUGAGGUCCAUACGAUGUUACUAAAUAAAAUAAAAUUAUGAUAAAAAUAUAUAAGGAUAUGCUUCUGAGUUAUGUGGUAGAAUUGUAAAAAUGUAUCGUAACUGACUCAUCGUGAUAUGCGAAACGCAAUAUUAUAUACGAAAAUAAAUAUAAUAUUUUUUUUAUCGUACUUUUUCACUACACAUAACGUAAUCUUGUCGCAAUCUCAAAUGAAACCAAAAACUAAAAUAUAGUACACAACCUACAACCUCUAAAUAAAUUAUAUAUAUAAAAAAAUUAUAGUUUGUAUUGAAAUAUUAUUUGGUUUAGAAUAAAAGAAAUUAAAAAAUUAUAAUUUCUUUUAUAUGAUAUAAUUUUUAAAAAAUAUUAUAGCGUAUAAAUAAUAAAGUAGAUUUUAGUUUUGAGAUUUUAUCAUUACUCUUUAGAAGCAUAAGCAAGAUAGCAUUUUGACACUCAUGUGGAUAUUGAUGAGGGGUUUUUUUUUUUGGUGUCGAAGGUUUUUUUUGGUGUCUCAUUACAAUUUAUUUGUUAUAGUUAUUUUUCUUAGAAUCAAAUCAAUCUCUUCAUAUUAUAUAAAAGGGAAAACUUCAAAUACCCCUAUGUGAUUUCGCACUUUCUCACUUUAAUACCAUGUAGUUUAAAGUGUAUCAAGUUAGCACCCAGUGGUUUCGCACUUUCUCACUUUAAUACCCUGUGGUUUAAAGUGUAUCAAGUUAGUACUCUGUGGUUUCCCUUUUGUAUCAAGUUAGUACCCAGUGGUUUUAAUUUUUUUUUUUUAUUAUCCAUUUCAGGAUAUAUAAUUUAACGAAAUAUUAAACCAUAUGAUACUAAAGUGAGAAAGUGCGAAACCACAGAAUACUAACUUGAUACACUUUAAACCACAUGGUACUAAAGUGAGAAAAUGCGAAACCACAGGAUACUAAUUUGAUACAUUUUAAACCACAUGGUACUAAAGUGAAAAAAUACGAAAUCACAAGUUGAGUAUUUGAAGUUUUCUCUAUAUAAAAAUACAAAAAUAUUAAAAUAUCAUUUUUAAAAUAAAGUUAAUAUAUUCAUCCUGAUUAGACUCGUUUUACCCACAAUGAUUGAAAUACAUUUUACGCCUAAUUUAGAUGAAUUAUAAAUCAUUUUGAAUUAGACAUCAAGUCUUUUAAAAUUUUAAUUUUAUUAUUUAAUAUUUAAAUUUAUUUGAUUUGAACCAAUUAACAAUAUUUUUAUUUUAAAAUUUAAGCCUAUUACUUAUUUUAAUAAAAUUUACAGUUUCAAAAAUUAUCUAAAAUAUAUACUAACUAACUUAUAAAAAUAAUAAUAUAUUUAAAUUUUAAAAUCUAUUGCCUAACUCAAAUCAAAUAAAUUAAAAAAUUCGACAGUAAUUUAAAAUUUUUAAAAAAUUGUGAGGACACGUGGCGAGAAACUCAGCACGAGACGCGGUGGCAUUGUGGAAAAUUUCUCGAAACCCAGUGGCAUUUAACGAGAGCAGGUCCUUAUAAGGACUCAUGGUGCGCCCCCCCCUUUUCUCUCUCAACUCAUCUCCAUCGAUCAUCUCCUUCAUUUCUCACCGUAUAAGCCAAUAGGAUGUCGCGUUAUGGUGCGCCGCUACUGCUAUUGUGCGCCGCGGUUCACGUAGCAUUCGCCAUUAAUGAUGGUAAUAAUAGUAACACUUAUCUCUGAGCUCCUCUUUUACUUCUUAUAUAUAUAUAUCUACAUAGCUUCUUUUUUUUUUUUUUUUAAAAAAAGUAGAAAUAUAAUAUUUGUAAAUUACAAAUAAAUAUUCUGANCUUCUUCAGUUUUUUUUUUUUUUUUUUUUUUUUACUUUCAAAUGUGAUUUUUUUCAAAUUUUAUUUUCAAAAUCAACUUAAUGUGAACAAAUAGUUAUGUAUCCGUUGCAAUGACAUUGUUGUUAUUUAAAUAAUAACAAGUACUACGUACUCAAGUGCAAUUUUUUUUUUUUUAAUCACACGGGGCUCUGUUCAAACUCCUGCAUAAAAGUUAGAGAUUCAAACUUUCGACUUCUCAAAUAAUAAUAUACUAUAUUUUGGAGCCGUUACAUUUGAAUUCUUAGAGUUAUUAUUAUUUAUUAUUAUUUGGAACACACAUGGGUACCACCCCUGCAUCGUGUAUGAAAAGAUGCAUAGGUUUCAAAAAUCUCUAGAUUCUAGUUGGGAUUCUAUAAUCGGAGUCUAAUAAUAUUCAAAUGAACAUUUACCAUAAAAUUCACUGUUGAAACUAUCAGUGUGCACUUACAGUUUUUAAUGUAAGUGGUAAAUAAUUUAAUAGUUAGUAUUCGAAGUUUUAUUGCUUUAUAUUUUUAGCUAAGUUUAUUUUUUAAGAAAAAAAAAACUAAACAGAAUGGUAGCGUGAAAAAAAUUUUUUUUUUUUUUUUUUGAGAGAUAGAUAGCACGCUACCCGCUUCGUUUAUUUCAUUUUGAAAUAAACUUAGCUAGAAAUGUAAAUCAACUAGGAUUCGAACUUGGGUUUCGGAUAUCGACCACCAAGUCCUUUGUCACUUGUCACUUGCUCUAGGGAUGGUCGGUUAGCGUGAAAAAAUUGUUAGUAUACAAGUAUUAGAAGAUUCAGUUACAGUAAGUCUUAUUUCUCUUUUUGCUAGAUUAAGAAUGUCUAGGAUUCUCGAGGACUACUACAGUUGUUAAUCUAGGUAAUUUUUUUUGGAUAAGUAUGAAUAAUUUUAGAUUGAUUCUAACUCCUACAAAAACAAGAACUUCAAAUUAGUUCAUUAUCUUUUCAACAUAGUAAAUUUAGCUAAAAAUAUAAAAUAAUUAGAUUUUGAAUUUAGAACCUCAGAUACCAACCAUUAAAUCUUUUAUCACUUAUGCUAGAAAUAGUAGGUAAAUAAUUAUUUUUUAUAGUAGAAAAAUUAUUUUAAUAUUGGAUAAAAAGCAGUGCUUAUAUAACUUAGAAAACACCAGCAAAUGGAUGGUCAUUGUAUUUUUCUACCAAAACCAGGAGGUGGUUGCUAUUAAUGGGGAUAUGGAUCUACCUAAAAUUUAGCUGUUUCUUUAACGUCGCAAUCAAAUCUAUCAGAUACCAAUUGGCUUCUAUUAAUUGGAUGAACAGUGAAAGAAGUUAAUGAAGCAAUAGUUUUAGUAAAAUAGAAAAUUUUCUAAACCUGAAUGAUUUUUACUGAGCUUGUUUUACUGAACACAGAAUAAGUCGAAUUCAAGGAGAUGUUGAGCCUAUUGGAAUUAGCUAUGUGCAUUUCAAAAUUUCUACUCAUCAAUUAAGUAGAAAGCUUAAUAACACCGUCUUUUACGAUAGAGAUAAGUUAUAUAUUUAACAUGCAUAUAAAACGGUUGUAGUUAUAGCAUUUACUUGCUAAUAAAAUUGGCAUCAAUAUUUGUGCCAUGCUGGGGAGCUAUUUGCUAGCUUCAUCAGAAUAUUCUUUUGACUUGACCUAAAAGUAAUUAAUAUGGUAGAUUCAAAAUUUGAAAUGUUGGCCAUGUGGACCAUGUGGAACUUCAUUAUUUGAGUGUCAGAUGUGUGGGUUGUAUUAUUGUAUAUGGGUCAUAUAUAGGUCUUUAGAUCCCAGAAAUGGAAAUUUAACCUUCACAGGAGAAAUAUUUUACUUCUUUUCAUAAUGUUGAUUUUACAUGAUGUUAAUUUUUGAUUAAUUUAUGCACAUGUUUUAAUUUUUAUAUGAAUUUGUUAAUACUGUUAAUAGAGAGCAGUAAUUUUUCUUUGGCCACUGUGAUAGAUGGUUGGAAGUAGCUGCAAAUUGCUGUCAAAAGUUAAAAAAAAAAAUAUUUUUUUCUGGAUUAAAAAAAAUUAUUCGUUGGAUUACUGUCGCGUCAGUAAUAUAUAAAAAUUUAGGAAACUAAAAAAUAAUACAGUUGAUGAAACUAGUGCUCAGCAGAAUUACUCAUAAUUAAAUUUCAAAAGGCAUUAAAUUUACUUUAAAAAUAGAGGGCAAAAUUUUAAAAGAAGCCAAUGCAAUUUACUCUUAAUUGUUUUGUAAUAUUACUUGAGACUUGCACCAUGUAACAAGGAAGCAUGAGGGGGCCUAUUGGGUAGCUGGAGAAAUAAGUGCUUCUACAGAGGCUAAAUUUAUGAUUGGGCCUUGCGACAGCUUUGACCAGCCUAACUUCUCAUAAUUGAAGGGGCAAAAUUAUUGGGCUUAUCAUAGCAAAAUAGUGGCAAUCUUCAGUAGAAUAUAAAUAUUUUUUUAAUCAACUCAACUAAAAAUAUAAAAUAACUAGAUUUUGAAUUUGAGAUCUCAGAUGCUGAUGCUGCUCAUUAAAUUUUUAGUCAACUGCGCUGGAUAGAAUACAAUAUUAAUGACUAAUAAAUGACCAAUACAGCAGUCACCACUUGAUUGCAUUCCAUAUAUCCUUUUAGGAUAUCGACUGUUGCUAGCAUAAGUGGUAAAGGAUUCGAUGGUUGGUAUCCGAGGUUUUAAAUUCGAACUCUAGUUGAUUCACAUUUCGAGUUAAAUUUAUUUUUUUUAAAAAAUAAACGAAAUGAAUAACAUGUUAUUUUUUUCUCUAAAAAAAAACAUAUCCUUUUCGAACUAUUCCUUUUAAAAUUUUGCGCAAAGAGUGAUUCUGGUUCUCAUUGGUAAUUAACUGUCGAUCUAACAUGCAUAUAAUUAUUAGUUACUGGCGUGCGUAAAAAAUUCUUGCACACGAAAUUAAUUUUAUGCAAUGCUAAUGAAUUUGUGGUGGUGCGACUGCGCGCGUUAGGACUUCUUCCGAACGGGAACUUCGAGGCGGGGCCGAAGCCGUCGGAGCUGCGGGGGACGGAGGUGGUGGGGCGGCACGCGAUCCCGGAGUGGGAGGUGUCGGGGUUCGUGGAGUACAUCGAGUCGGGGCACAAGCAGGGGGACAUGCUGCUGGUGGUGCCGGAGGGGGCGCACGCGGUGCGGCUGGGGAACGAGGCGUCCAUCCGGCAGCGGCUGCGGGUGGCGCGGGGCGCGUACUACGCCGUGACCUUCAGCGCGGCGCGGACGUGCGCGCAGGAGGAGCGGCUGAACGUCUCGGCCACCCCCGACUCCGGCGUGCUGCCCAUGCAGACCAUGUACAGCAGCACGGGCUGGGACUCCUACGCCUGGGGCUUCCGGGCGCUCUUCGACGAGCUCGAUCUCGUCAUCCACAAUCCGGGCCUCGAGGAGGAUCCCGCCUGCGGCCCCCUCAUCGACUCCGUCGCCAUUCGCACGCUCUACCCGCCCAGAUUAACAAACAGUAAGUAGUAGUGAUUAAUUCUUCUUCUUCUUCGCAUCCGCUAGAUCUAUAUAUCCAAAAAGAUCAUUAUUAAUAAUAAUAUUUGGUGGUGUAUAAUUGGGUGGGGGGACAGAGAAUCUGCUGAAGAACGGGGACAUGGAGGAGGGGCCGUACAUAUUCCCGAACACGACGUGGGGGGUGCUGAUACCGCCGAACAUCGAGGACGAGCACUCGCCGCUGCCGGGGUGGAAGGUGGAGUCGCUGAAGGCCGUCAAGUACGUGGACGCGGCGCACUACGCGGUGCCGCGGGGGCUCCGCGCGGCGCAGCUGGUGGGGGGGCGGGAGAGCGCGCUGGCGCAGGUGGCGCGCACCGAGCCCGGGCGCAGCUACGCGCUGACGUUCGCCGUGGGCGACGCCGGCGACGCCUGCGCGGGGCCCAUGGUCGUCGAGGCCUUCGCGGCGCGCGCCUCCCUCCGCGUGCCCUACGAGUCCAAGGGCACCGGCGGGUUCAAGCGCGCCGUGCUCCGAUUCGCCGCCGCGGAGAAGCGCACCACCGUCGUCUUCCUCAGCACCUACUACCACAGCAAGCCCGACGGCUCGCUCUGCGGGCCCGUCGUCGACGACGUCGCGCUCCUCAGCGUCCGCAACGCCACCAAACCAAAACCACCGCUACGGCUCAGGCUCCUGUGAGCUUAAUUUUGCGGCACAUGGCCGUGUAUACUAGUUACUACUGUUGGAGUAUUUGAUUUUGGGUGGAGUGGUGUGGUGUUUGUUAUUGUUUUACUCUCUUCGUUUUGGUACGUGCGUACGUGUAUACCAGGUAGGUGCCCUGUGGCUACCACGAAAAACUUUUUUGAGUGCUAGCAUAUGUGGCGCGUUGAUCAGUGGGGUGGGAAAGAGGUUACUUAAUGGUUUGUUCCGUGGAAUAUAAACUGUGUACUUGUGAUUCAAAUGCAAUUACUCUGAAUGUUUACGGUCUUAUGUACGACCAAGUGGUUGUUUUACGUUCUUUUAUUAGAGUUUGAUUUGAUUGGAUGGAUAAACACCGCAUUUCUUACAUUUCUCGAGUUUAGAUUUUUUAUUUUUUUUUAAGAUAAAUGCAUUUAUUAGUAGAUUGGGCUUGAAAUUAAAUUUCUCAAAAUGAAGAUAAACUAAUAUCAUAGUCGAAUGUUUUAUUUUUUCCACACAACUAAUUAUAACUUCUAAAUCUUGCAAGAGACUAAAAACAAACUUUUAGAUCACAGCUGCUAAUAACUAAAAUAUAAAAAAAAAGGUUCUCACUACUCUGUGUCGCCUGCCAUUCAACUGUUACAGUGUUUUUUUCCCCCCCCAAUAAUUAGGCUGUAAAAAUAACUCCAGAUGAUCUCAUGAACUACCACCAAAUACACCUGGAAGUGGUGCAUAUGCAGCGAAAAAUUGGAAAAGUAAUAUACAUGGCUUCAAUAUGAAAGAAAAACAAUAAGGUUAUUACAUACUAUUGCAGAACACGCUAUUCUCCAUUUAGAACAAACCAGAAUGUUGCCAACAGGGAGCUCAAAUAAAACCAGACAGCGAGCAACAAGACGGAGAGCAAUAGUAAGUAAAAAAAGGUGUUAUCUGUCAUAUCCAAACACAAUCAAAGAGUGAAAAUAAAAACCUUCGAGUCUAUCAAGUUACACAUAUCAAGUACAGUAGUACACAUCCGAACGGACAAUUUUGGAAUGGAACUAAGAAAUUCAAAUCUUGUAACUAUCACCAAAAUGUAAUUCAGCUACUCUCCAUCUGGUAAAAGCUUUGAUCAUAAGUUAUACCUGCUUCUACAUCUUUCUUCUUUCCUGAGGGAGGCUCCAAUUGACGACUGUUGCAAAUUCCUUGUUAGAAGCUUGGCUUAGUUUCAAAAAGCGUAACAAAUGAUUCGAAUUGGAAAUUGCAAGAAAGAGCUUAUAUUUGAUGGCAGUCCGACAGUCAGAAGGUUGAGAAAGAUUCGGUCUUAACAGAGACUGCUGCAAAACAGAUGUACGCAUGGAAUACAGACAAGUGCCCCAGCAUGCCUUUCCAAAAGUUGCUAAGCAAAUCUGAAAUUCCGAGUCCAAGAAUUCAAGGCCAGCAAAGUUCAAUUAGAGUGCAUAUAGAUAAACAACAUUGGCAUCUAUUGGAAGAACAUUUCCUGAGCAUUUUCCAUCUACAAGGUGACAAUGCACCACUUUGCUAAAGACUAUCAACAAGGAAAUUGAAAAGAACAUCAGCAACAGCAUCAGAAACCACACAGUUCUAGAACCAUCACAAAUAAUAAUGCCACGUACCUUGUAAAGAAAGUCCUAAUUGUCACCUGUUUCCUGUAACUUUUAAGUCUUAUUAGCUCUAAGAUUUCUUGCUCGCUGAAACACAAAAUAUCAAGAUAUUAUUUCUCAUUUAUUCCCGUGAUGCUUCUCAAGGUGGUCCGAUCCUUUCAACCAUCAAAAUUUGCAUAAAAUAGUCGUUAAGUACAAACAAUUGAUGAUGAUGCGCUAAAUGCCUUUAGUAUCUUCGAAGCUUCUAAUGAUCGUACAUGCACCACAUGCCUACAGUAUCACCAGGCAUUCAUUUCAAUCUUGUUAAGUAACUUCCAUAGGAAUGCUAAUAAAAAACAAUGACUUAAACACAAAGAAUGAGCCUAACAACAACCCAAGAGAAGGAUAAUGUAUUGCUUCAAAACAUUUCGACAGGAAGUUCAUCUUUUAUCAGAAAAUAUUCGUGCCAAUCCCGCUCGAAAUUCAAUAGCUACCUUACAGUGUACUAACAAAUAUGCACAAUAAACCCUACAAUGAUCUUUUAACAACAAUUACUCUGCAGAUGAUGAAUGCCAUAGGUCCGGAAAAAGUAAAGAGUAACUAUUUUAUUUCACGAGGAAUAUCGGUAGGUCAUUUACAAAUGCUUCUAUCAUCCAAAUUGUCAAGGUGAAACGGAUGCAGAUAAUUUCAACAUCAUUCUCCCUUAUGAAUAUUUUCUUUCGUUUCCACUUGAAGUUAAAGAAAAUCUCUUUUCCUCCAAUGUAAAAGAAUUCUUGCAGUGAUUGUGGUUUAAAAUUUUAAAUGGAACAGGCAGCGAUCAAUUUUUAUAACAGAAGAAUAAUUAGUAUUGUUCUGAUCAUUCUUUAUGGAAACAUUAAAUUGCAUGAGAAACAAAUAUACCAAAUGCUUUGUAAGCAUUGGACACAUGUUCUUAUACCAUUCAAUACAUGAGCUCUCAUCAAUAUUCACAAACUGGUAAGAUUAUUGAAGUGGUUACACCAGUACUAUAGCAACCAAAGUACGCGGUAUCUUUUGUAACAAACUCUGACCAGAUUUAGGAAGGAAAUAAACAAUAGUGAAUUAAUACACAAUAUAUGUAAUAUUACUGACAAGAGCAAGCUAUCCAACAUACUGAAUUGAGAUUUCUCCCGCAUUAAGUAAAUAGAGGCACUCAGCAGUUAACUUUUAAGUUCUUACCACAUUUUGAGUGCAACCAUCAUAAGCUGCAAUAGAUACACAGGUGCCCAUAACUUAGCUAUCAAAAGCACCUAGUCAGCCUGCAGUAAGAUCGGGAAAAAUGAGAAGCGCAGUUAAAAGAUACCAACUGAUCAGCUUGUGCUGAAUCCUUUGUCAGGAUCAGAUGGAGAUAGAGAUGUUGCCACAUUCCCCGAAGGUUAAAUAGGUAACAAACCCACUAUCAUCUUGGCCUGCUGGCAUGCUUUAAAAGCCUCCAACUUCAGCCUGAAAAGUGCAUCGGGAAUAUCAAAUAUAUCCCAAGUAUAGAAUAAGCAACUUCUUAUUGAGAUAGCAUUAUGUGCUCACUGUGCUAUGGUAGUAUACAUGAAGCUACUGAACAUUUGAGCCAGUAGAUUAAAGCUACUGAAAUUAAAGAGAACUAAUAACGAGCUCACACUCAAGCAACUAAAAAGCGUUCACAGGAAUAAAUCGAGAAAAAAUUAUGAGAAUUACAUUGAACAGAAAUUUAUGCGCUAUAAAAGACAAGGCGGAAAUUAACAUAAAUUUUAACUGUUUGAGAAAAAUAUUUAUGACAAACUGCACUCAAAAUGCUUUUGAGAACCCACAAUCACAUUAGUAAACCAAACAAGCUUUCUUGCAACAUUAAGCGACAGCAAAUUUGUUACAUUAAUAAUCUUUAGCAAAUUUCCCAGAGAGCAAUCUGCAUGAAAGUUUUACAGAAAAUAAGAUAAUCUCCUGAUAAUUUACUGCAAAGCUAAUAGAAGCUGGUCAUCAUUGUAAACUUUUGAGUCAUCCACAUGGGACAAUUUUCUCAUAGCAAAGUGCAAUAGCAUAAACAGAAGCGACAACAUUAAACCAAGACUUACUUCCAAAAUCGCUCAAGGGUAUUCAACUGCUUUUUUCAUGAAAGAUUUUUCAUACAAAAUUAUGCUACAGAAGCUCAUUGUCUUUAGCACAAAAUAUGAGUAGCAUGUGGCACUAAAAUGAAUGACUGACUUUACAGUACAGCAGAAAGUUAAAGAGACAAGUAAGGACCUAAAAAAAAAAAAAAUCCUACAAUGAGCUGACACUAUUUUCCUGAAGACUGAAAGGAACAUUGGUUCUGGUAGAUGCUAAAUGCUUUAGCUCUAUUAAAUGCUCAUCAUCUGAUAUGUGGAGUUCUAGGCGGAGGUUACCCAUCAACUCUUCUUUUUCCCAGGUUAAGGGCCCAGAUGCAUAUAAUGCCAACAAUGUACGAUGAUAGGCUUCUAACUCUAACCGAUGAACUUCUUCCUCUAGAUCCUCUUUUUUAUCAAGGGAAAGAAAUUUCUCAGAUGCACAGGAAGGUUCAAUAUCAUUGAAAUUUAAUGGACUAACUACAGGACAGUAGGGGGACCUAUAAGGGCUGCAGCAAGGACUACAACUACCGACAGAGGAUGCAAUACUCUCAUCAUCAUUAGGUUCAUCAAUAGCAUGUUGUACUCCAUAUCUUUCACCAAGUAUAUACGGUGAAGCAACAGCAUCUACCUUUUCAAGUAGAACUGGCUGGCACUUUCCCUCUUUCUCUACUAAUCUCCUCUUAUUCUUAGCUCCUGCAGAUGUGCCAAUAAUCAUCAAGCAGUCAUUUGGCCUUUUCUCCCCACUUCUCGAUGCGAGCUCCCUAAGACAAGUACUUCUUCCAAAGUGUAAUUGAUCAUCUCCACCGUAUUUCUCCAACUCUAUGCAUGACUGAGGUACUUGUGGGCUAAAGUUCCCCAACUUCAUCCGGCUAUCCAUGACUCCUUUGCAUCUUCGAUAACCCUGCAGCAAAAUAUAAACACAUCAAUCACCAAAAAAGGUUAGAAUAACUUUUCGCAGAACCAUGGCUCAAUGAACGAAAAAAAAAGACCUCGUUUGGCCACGGUCACUGUUUUUCUGGUCUUCAAGCUCAUUGUUUGCAAUUUAUACAUUAAGGAUUUUAAUUGUCAACUAACUACAAUAAUUCAGAGUAACUUUUUUUUCCCCUCUUUGUUGCCUUAGUAAUACCCAAAAACAGAAGCCCAUUCGCUGGCAUGUUGAAUAGCGAAUUUGAGUUUUAAAAAGUAAAAAAAAGCACAUGUGUAACCAAAUGAGGCCUAAAGGUUUUCAGUAAAAAGAAAGAAUCGUAAUCAAUAGCAAAUAACAAGAUCAAAUUAAUAUGAUCACCUUCUGAAUCACAUCCCAUUUCCCAUCCCUCCAAGACUGUCGCACUCUAAGGCCAGAUAAAUGCGCUCUAAAGACUUUCGACGUUCCAAGAAGUCUGACAACAUAAUAACUCGAAUCAAUGACUCGGGACACUAUUGCAAGCUUCCAGGAGUUACUCUCAAAGGCCUCAACUAUGUCACCCUGAACCCAGCUCUCUGUGGACUCGAAAGGAGGCGGGCAUGGCCUGAUAGCCUUUCUCGGCACUCGCCCGACAGCCAAAUUUGUAUCAAGUGAACAAGUAAUGAAUCGCACAUUAUAAGUAUGCCCGUUGCCGGAGAUUAUCUCCGCAGGGCACCAUGAUCCUAAGGGCACCUCCCACUUGCUCAUUACCUCCACCUUGCUGCCUUUCUUGAAUCUCAUUGUGCAAUGAUCUCGGAUUUCAAUUUCGAGAACUUUGAUUUGAACAAUCUGAUGAAGAAAAAAGGCAAAGAAUUAGAUCCACCACAAAUUACUGCAGUAUUUUACACAAUAUUGCAUUCAACAUGAAAUUAUAAGCAUCAACUGAAUAUUCUCCAUAUGCCUAAUCGAUACGCUAUUUAGUUAAGAGAAAAACGUGCAAAGAAACGCAAACAAACACGGUAAAAUCUAGUAAAACUACAAAUCAGCCGAUGAAGUUUUGUUUCCAACAAAUAUCGAAGUUAAUUCCACUAAUGAUACAAUAGCUAGCAUAUAAAUAUCGACCAUACGUCGUUAGAAACCUACAAAAAAUUGCAUCAGGGUGCAAAUACUAACAUCGAUCGAACUUAACACAGAAGAGACAAUAGCAUGAUCGAACAACCAUACAAUAAGUGCAAGUUACGAUGCGAAACUGGAUUUAAUAACUACGAAAACCCUAGGACUGAUUCAACAUCAAACCCUUACUAACCUUCAAUAAAAAGCAUCUAAUAAUCACCCCAAAAAUUGAAGAACAUCUCAACAAAAUUAAAAAAUAAUCAGAAACAUAACAACAAAACAAAUAACAGCACCUAAUAAAAGAAUCACCCACCGAUCCCCGUACUUAAAACUAGUCCAAAAGGAACAAAAGGACGAUAAAUUCCAAAAUAGAUGAAAUGAUCGAGCAAAAACACACAAAAUUACAAAAAAAAAUGGAUAUAUUUCGAAUGAAGUGUGAAAGAAAAUCACAAUUACCUCUCUACGAUCGAUCGAUCGGAGACGAAGAGCGAUCGAUUCGUCUCCUUCUCACCUUCGCUUCUCUUCGACGAUCCCUCGCGCUCUCCCUCUUCCCUCCGCUGCCCCCAAAUUCCUUCCUUCUGUGGGUUUAAUUUCUCGGCUUAUUUCUACCUUUUUAAUUUUUCGGUUUAAAAAGCGUAAAUUGGUAGGAGAAAAUUAUAUUAAAAAAAGGGUAAACUUCAAAUACCACCCUGUAGUUUCUCAGUUUCUCACUUGAAUAUCUCAUAUUUUAGAUUGUAUUAAGUUAGUCCCUCGUGAUUUUAUUUUUAUCUUUUUGUCAUUUUUUCGUUAAUAUUUCGUUAAAUUAUAUACAAAAAACUUCAAAUACCCUAUUUAAACUUAUCGUAUAUUCACUUUAGUAUCAUUUAGUUUUUAUUUUAUCACUGAUUUAAUAAAAAAAUUUGUAAAAUUAAUAAUAAAAAAAUAAAAAUGAAAUCAUAGGCACUAAAUUGAUAUACUCUAAAUUAUCAGAUACUAAAGUGAAAAUAUAUGAAACCACAUGAAUGAUAUUUGAAGUUUUUUUUUUAAAAAUAUUUAUACAUUUAACGGACGUGACGGGAAUUAAAAUCCAACUGUGGGGUAGGGGUUACGUCCGGGGAGAAGAGGUGGCGAGUCCGAAACGAACUGGGAUGCGGUUGAACGAUAUUAACGGUCGGAUGAGGAGCGGAGUGGACGGUUGGAUGUGGAAUGGACGGUCAACGAUUUUUCUCGAAUCUUCCAUGUGUGUGAGUUAAAUCGAACCGGUAACACCAGUGGCGGUGCACCCAAUUUAGAGUAGAGAGGAGUUAUUUUCCUCUGUAAAUAUUCAUUUUUAUUAUUUAAUUUAAUAAAUAUAAAUUAAAUUUAUUUGUAAUUUUAUUUUUUUUAAAUAUUAUAAUUAAAUUUGUUUUGUUUGAUAUCCAAAGUUAAUGGCCGACAAAAUAAUAGAAAAUUAACUAUUGUGAUUUUUUUAUUUUUUAUAUGUUAAUAUACAAAGUUUCAGUAAACUAAACAAAAAGAGUGAAAUAAUUAUCGUAAUUUUAAAGUCAUUGAUUUUCUACAGAAAUAAACAACAACNAAAUAAAAAAAUCACAAUAGUUAAUUUUCUAUUAUCAUGUGAUUUUUUUAUUUUUUAUAUGUUAAUAUACAAAGUUUCAGUAAACUAAACAAAAAGAGUGAAAUAAUUAUCGUAAUUUUAAAGUCAUUGAUUUUCUACAGAAAUAAACAACAACAUAAAAAAUAAAUUCACAUGAACUUCACAUCAACUAAAAGUCAUUUUCUAGGUAACAAAUAUUUAUAGGCGAACAAAAAAGUUGUAACGAAUAAUAUAAAUUUUUUUAAUUUAAAACUUGCAAAAUUUUCUUUCAAAAUAAACCUUCCUGCAACACUCGCCUGGCCCAUUUUAAGAACGGUUUGGCCUUAUUAUGGAAGUAGCAGAAUAUAGCAAGACCAAUUUGUAUAAAAAAAAAUCACUAAUUUUAUGAUUUUGCAAAGAUAGACUGUUUUUUAGAAUUUUAUAGAUUCGGUUCGAAAUUCUUGAAAAUUAAAUCAAAUAUUCUUACUUAUUUUUCUCCUUUUUUUUUUUUUUCUGUUGUUUUUUCUUUCCUCCAACCCUCCUCCACCUAGCUCCUUCGUAGCCAUCAGCGACGGUAAUGAAGGUAGCUCCUCAGUUUGAAUAAGAACAGAGCAGAUGGAGGUGAUGAGGGCGUGGCCGAGAUAAUACUUGUUAUCGCCCGUAAAGGUGAAGACGAAAACAUACCCGCACUUUUCCAAAAAAAGCCACAGAAAGUAAAAGAAAUAAUAAUAAAAAAUAAAAAUAUCUUUUUCUAUAGAAAAGAUCAAAAAUCAGUGAUGAAAGAAGAGAAUAUGAAAUAGCACCGUUAAAAUUAGGUUUCAUUAUUUGAGAAGAAAUUUGAACGAAAAUUACAUAUUUUGAGAUAAAAAAUUGUAUUAUCUCAUAUGAGAGUUACACGUUUUGAGAAAUAUUACACUAUUUUUUCUCCUCCUUUUCCUUCGCUUCGCAUGCUUCUUCCGUGCCCAUCUGAGGUCGACGACGCGUGGUGGAGGCGGAGGAAAGCGCCGCGAUGCCGGAGAAGAGAGCGGCGGAGAAGUGGGCCGGGUCGGGCCCUCUGUACGACGCGCCUGGCCCGUAGGCCAGCUGCGGUCGGCCGGGCCGGGCCAGCAGGCUUGCUUCUGGGAGGGUCGCGCCCGCUGCGGGACAGGCCAGGCCAGAAGGCCCUCUUCGGGGCGGGCCAGGCCUGAGCGCUCGCUGGCCCGCUGCAGCCGGGCAGGGCCCGCCCUCCGGUACCGGGUGGGGCAGGACGGGCCAGCGCAUCCGCAGGGCGUGGCGGGCCUCUCUCCCACAAUUGCUUCUCUCUUCUUUUUUUUUUUUUUUUUUUUUUUUUUUAACUUCUCUUCUCUGUCGAUGCACAAAGAAGAACAUAAAAAAAGAUGACAACACACCUAAGUUCGAAUNUUUUAACUUCUCUUCUCUGUCGAUGCACAAAGAAGAACAUUAAAAAAGAUUACAACACACCUAAGUUCGAAUCCUAGUUGAUUCACAUUUUCAGCUAAAUUUAUUUCCAAAUGAAAUAAACGAAGCGGGUAGCGUGCUACCAAUCUCUCAAAAAAAAAAAAAAUUACAACAGAAAUGCACGAAAUAGAAAGAAAAAAAAAAAAAAAAACACAACGAAUGUAAGAUUUUUUUUCGUAUAUCUCAUGGUCAUUUUAAAAGAAAUUAAUACUUAACUUAUUUGGAUAAAUCGCAAUCCGCACCUUAUGUGAAUCGAGUUGAAUUUCAACAAAUCAAUGUGGACACACCACAUGGCAAUAUUUUUAAAAAUAGAUUUCCAUUUUAAGGUAUUAUAUCAUAUUUUGGUUCUCGAAGAUGUCGGUGUACGGACUGGGAGGAUGGAUGUAAAUAAUCUUAACUACAAAACAGUGCUUCGUAUCACUUUCUGAAAAGAUUAAAAAUAAAACUGAAGUUCAAUUUAUAAUUUUUUUUUUUUUCUGAAAAUUGCAGAGGCUGAAAGGAGAAAAACCAUGGUCUGAUAGAGGACAGAUGCGUUGAUGGACCAGAUCGAGGCAAAGCUUUUUCUCUUGGAACUCUCUCAAAAUUUAGAUGAAUAGUCAAUUAAACCAUUCAUAGUCUUUAACUAAGAAAGACGGCAAAUGCAGCGCGCCGACCUCCGCUUUCUCGUGUUGAAGGCAAGAAGCCACCAAAUUGCAAAUGCUAGUUUUUAUCAAACAACAGCGUAGAAACUCAUAAUUUAUGGCACUUCCCAUAACUUCUAAUUGGAUAAUAUCAGAGAACUUUAAAAGUUUCACAUGGGAGAUAAUGUAAGUGUGUCAAACCCUUAUCUAUUGGAAGCACACUAAUACUAAUAUGAAAGUUAAGCAUUUAAAUAGAUGAUUUGUAUCAAACGAGUUGUUGGUAUUAUAUUUAGUACUAGAGCCGGAUUGGCAACCGAAAGUGUAAGAUAAAUUUAAUGCACCUUAUAAUUUUUAACUGUUUGUAUAAAUGGAUCUAACGAAAAUAUAAGAAUCUAAAUGACAAAUUUGAUCUGACGCGGAUAGCAGGAUGUGAAACGGAUUCAAGUGAUGACGCGUGCAACGGAUCAGAUUGGAACAUUUUUGCAUUUGACCUAUUUAAAUCAGAGGUGGAGGAAAUCCGAGGUAACGAUGUUGCGGGUCAAACUUCUGAUCCUUGAUGGAAGGUUAAAAAGAAAAGAAAGAAAAGGAUGGAGUGAAAGUCUGAUGUGCACCAUCGGGCUUGGCACUACUUUGCAUCGGUUGGAUUUAUGGAAGGUUACUGCAUUCCAGAAGCAUAGAUAGCUGGAUUGUUUCGUUGGCUUGGGGUAAUAAUAAUAAUAAAGUUCAUUGUUAGAACCAAGUGCCCAUUUCCUUUCUCCUCAAACAACAACCGAGAGAGAGAGAGAGAGAGAGAGAGAGAGAGAGAGAGAGAGAGAGAGAGAGA
rnacentral:lncRNA from 1 species